ACAGAGGGGGCAAGCGUUGCUCGGAAUCACUGGGCGUAAAGGGCGCGUAGGCGGGAUGGCAAGUCGGUCGUGAAAUCUCUCGGCUCAACCGAGAAACGUCGGCCGAUACUGCCGUUCUUGAGGGAUGCGGAGGAGACUGGAAUUCCCGGUGUAGCGGUGAAAUGUGUAGAGAUCGGGAGGAACACCGGUGGCGAAGGCGGUCUGCUGGGCAGUUUCUGACACUGAUGCGCGACAGCGUGGGGAGCAAACAGGA
rnacentral:rRNA from 1 species